CGCCCGCUCGCUCGAGCUCGGCGCGGACCCGCCCGGGAGCGCUCCUCGCAGCCCAGCUGCCCGGGUCCCACCGCCCUACCGGGCGCGGGCGAUCAGACUACCUCGGAGGGCGCGCCCAGACACCCAGUCGUCCGGCCACCUCAGUGGGCACACUCGGCACCCUGUGAUCCGACCACCCGCGGAGGCGCGCUAGCCCUCUGGGUGGGCGUGCUGGGCUUCUCUGCGGCGGAAGUCUGAACCACAGAUUGUGACUUCUUUUCUAGCAAUAGGUGUUGACUGGUCCGACUGCUGCCUUUCUGCCUGAAAGUAGUUCAAACUGGUCUCUAACUGAACCUGGAACUCACUGACUGAGCUAGAGUUGCUGUUGAGAAAUCCCCACGAAUUGUUUGGUCUUCUACCCCUCAAAAUUUUCGAUACAGUGCCUCCUCGGGCCCAUCAGAGUCUUCCAGGAUAAUGACCACGCCUCAGGAGGAAGUGAGGUAAACAAGUCUCCUCAUUGCUAUGUUUUGUAAUCCUCAGACAAGAGUGGAGUUCCCAUCUGAAGAUCCUCAAAGGCAUGCCUGUGUGAAGCUUACCCAUGUAUGUACUCAGUGUAGGUGUGAUCAGUUUUCAGAUCCAUGCAAAUGUGAGCUGACUUUCCCCUGAUGUUUGCUGAGUGCAUGCCAACAGCAUUCUGCAUGCCUAACAUGUCUCAGCAACCAAAUCCCUGGAGCUGCCAUAUGCAGAGGUCUGUGGUGUGGCCAUUUUAUAAAUGAGCCACGGGAAGGCCAGAGAAAGAAACAGCAUGCUCCAGGUCAGAGCAGAAGGCAGCUUCCCUAGGAUCUGUUUUAAUGUUUGCUUCUUUAUAACACAGGAUCUCAUGAAACCCAAGCUAGCCUCGGACUCAACUGUAUAGCUGAGGAUAGCCUUGAAUUGAUUCUCUAGUAUUUCUACCUCAUACCCAGUUCAUGAGGUAAUGCGGACAGAACCCAGGGCUUCCUGAUGCUAGGAAGGGACUCUACCAACUAAGCUACAUCCCCAGACCCUCCUCUGGGAUAGCCCCAAGGUUCAAAUCCAGGGCCUUAACAACAUCGGGACACAGACUUAAGACACAGACAGCACUCUAUGGGUCCUGGGCAUGCUCCUACCCUGUCUAGUGAUGGCAAAAGCCAUCUUUUUAACAGCCUACACUAUGAUUCUUCCAUCAGACCAGAAAGGCCCUAGAUAGCCCAGCUUCCCAUUUUGAGCCAUCCUCGACAUGUUUAACCAGUGGCUUCGUGGGACUGCUAGACAAAGUUUGGAAAUCACCAAGAGCUUUGACUUUUCUGCCCACAAAAACAGUUGGCCUUGGCAGUUGUCCAACACGUUGACCUUAGAUCUAUUUAAUGAAAACCCUAUUAAUUCAAAAAGAAAGAAAGAAAACAAGACAAAAUAGGACAGGCAGUAGAAAGAUCUUUACAAAAAUCGUGUGUGCCCUUCCUCCACUGUUGCCUUGACCAGACAGGGCCACAAAGCUGACAGGACAGGACUAGGACAAUUGCUUUGUUAACACACAAGCACAGCGUGACAUGAACUCCAGAAAAGGCAUUUGGCAGGAUUAACCUGCUGAGGAUAAAGAUGUAGCAGACGGGACCUGAAUUAAUGGACUGGUAUGGCCAAAGUGGAGAAAUCUAUUUGCAUGUAAUAUUAACUGUACUAAUAAACUCCAGGCUGGGAUCCAACAGCCCAGGAGCCUCUUUGAACCAGGACUUGAUUCCUGCACAUCCUAUCUCCGACAUCUGCCAAGACUUGUGCAUGUAAGCCGGCUGCCUGCCGGUUACCACUCUGUCCUUGGUGCCUGCAAUAUCACAGGCCCUUUACUGACUCCAACUCAAGCAGAUCCCACUUACAAUAUUAUUUACAACCUAUGGAAAAGCAAUGAGGAAACGCAGGUUCAACACAUGUAGAAAAUAUCCACCGGGGCCUAGAGAGAUGGCUCAGUAAUUAAGAGUCCUGGCUAUUCCUCCAGAGGACCUGGGUUCAAUUUGUAACAUCCACUUGGCAACUAAGAGUCAUCUAACUCCAGUUCUGGGGAAUCUGAAGCCCUCUUCUCACAUCUGUAGGCACGGUGCAUACAUGGUACAUACACAUGC
rnacentral:lncRNA from 1 species